AGUGAACGCUGGCGGUAGGCCUAACACAUGCAAGUCGAACGGCAGCACAGUAAGAGCUUGCUCUUACGGGUGGCGAGUGGCGGACGGGUGAGGAAUACAUCGGAAUCUACUUUUUCGUGGGGGAUAACGUAGGGAAACUUACGCUAAUACCGCAUACGACCUACGGGUGAAAGCAGGGGAUCUUCGGACCUUUCGCGAUUGAAUGAGCCGAUGUCGGAUUAGCUAGUUGGCGGGGUAAAGGCCCACCAAGGCGACGAUCCGUAGCUGGUCUGAGAGGAUGAUCAGCCAAACUGGAACUGAGACACGGUCCAGACUCCUACGGGAGGCAGCAGUGGGGAAUAUUGGACAAUGGGCGCAAGCCUGAUCCAGCCAUACCGCGUGGGUGAAGAAGGCCUUCGGGUUGUAAAGCCCUUUUGUUGGGAAAGAAAAGCAGCAGGUUAAUACCCCGCUGUUCUGACGGUACCCAAAGAAUAAGCACCGGCUAACUUCGUG
rnacentral:rRNA from 1 species